rnacentral:lncRNA from 1 species
GACAAAACUGACUCCUAUAUACCCCCCUCAAACAUGUUUGGUGGGGGUAUAACAAAAUACUAAAAAUUGAUACAGUAACAGUUACAUUUAUACAUUCAUAUCUCAUUUGAAGGGACACACCUCUAGCUGAACAUUGUUAUCAAAUUAUUAAAGCAAAUACCAACAAGAAGUCACGAAAGUCCUUGAUGGCUCACCAGACCU